rnacentral:lncRNA from 1 species
CUGGACGCCGCAGCUGAACAGAUGGACGCAGGGACGACGGCAGCUGUGGAGCCGCUGACGAUGUCGCAGCUGGAGAAGGCGGCGCUGGCCCUGCUCGACGUGUUCCAGCAGUACUCGGCGCGGGCGGGUGGUGGGCGCAGGCUGAGGAAGGCCGACGUCAAGGAGCUCAUCGGCAGCGAGCUCGCCCACUUCCUGGAGGAGAUCAAGGAGCAGGAGGUCGUGGACAAGGUCAUGGAGACACUGGACAGUGACGGAGACGGCGAGUGCGACUUCCAGGAGUUCGUGGCCUUCGUGGCUAUGGUCACCACCGCCUGCCACGAGUUCUUCGAGCACGAGUGAGGCGCAGCCGCGCAGGAAGCGGAGCGGGGCCGAGUCCCUGGCGCCGUGUAGCUGAUUAGGAAGCUUGACGUGCUUUGUCGAGGAGACGCCGACCCCCUUUCCCGGGGCUGACCUCGGGGCCCCCAUCCUCCGCUGACGGUCCGUGCGACGCGGUCACGAUCCUCAGGAGGGUGUGUGCUCCGCCCGUGGUCAGGGCCGCGCACCCCCCCCCCCCAACAACGCAGCUGCCGGGACCCAAAGGAUGGCUCUGGACGCACGUGGGUCCUUGUCCAAAGUACCAAGUUAGAGACGCAGCUUCGCCCCGUAUCCUGUGAGAAGCCUGCCUUUUCCUAAAAUGGGUUUGUCAUCCGUGCGAAGGAAACCCAGGGUCGGGAGGUGGCCUGACACGCCUGCCGCCAGACGGCCAGGGCAUGCUGUCCCCGGGUCCCCGCUGAGCCAUGGGAGCUCAGCAAACAGGGCUACAGCACUGGGCGGGGGCAGGGGGGGCGGGUCUCCCGGCUGUCAGGGCCGACACCGCAUUCUAACCACCUUCAGCGGGGCUCCUGUGCCCCGGGUCACACGUUGGUGCCGAGGCAGGAGCGCGGCUCCCAGCAGGGCGUCCACGCCCCUCCGCACACAGGUGUUCUGCAAACAGCCCCUCUGGCCUCCCCUCCUGUCUGGGAAGCGCAGGUGUCGUUCCUCACUUGCUUGUGCCGAGACAGGGUCUGCCCCGCAGCGGUUGGUGGAGCCCGAGUACGUGGGAAGCUCGACGUCACACAUGGGUACCCACGAAUCCAAACGUUCAAGUAUUAAGUCACUUCCGGGAAAGUUCAGAUUAACCUUUUCUGCCCCUUUCCCUGCUGCUUCUUUACGUGCACAGACCUGGAAACCCAUAAGCCAAUUGAUCGCUUGUGUUUGCAUCGAAUAAAGAGAGCAUUGUAACGG